AGUGAACGCUGGCGGUAGGCCUAACACAUGCAAGUCGAACGGCAGCACAGUAAGAGCUUGCUCUUACGGGUGGCGAGUGGCGGACGGGUGAGGAAUACAUCGGAAUCUACUCUUUCGUGGGGGAUAACGUAGGGAAACUUACGCUAAUACCGCAUACGACCUACGGGUGAAAGCAGGGGAUCUUCGGACCUUGCGCGAUUGAAUGAGCCGAUGUCGGAUUAGCUAGUUGGCGGGGUAAAGGCCCACCAAGGCGACGAUCCGUAGCUGGUCUGAGAGGAUGAUCAGCCACACUGGAACUGAGACACGGUCCAGACUCCUACGGGAGGCAGCAGUGGGGAAUAUUGGACAAUGGGCGCAAGCCUGAUCCAGCCAUACCGCGUGGGUGAAGAAGGCCUUCGGGUUGUAAAGCCCUUUUGUUGGGAAAGAAGAGCAGCAGGUUAAUACCCCGCUGUUCUGACGGUACCCAAAGAAUAAGCACCGGCUAACUUCGUG
rnacentral:rRNA from 1 species